GUAAAAGUCGUAACCAAGGUUUCCGUAGGUGAACCUGCGGAAGGAUCAUUACCUAGAGUUGUAGGCUUUGCCUGCUAUCUCUUACCCAUGUCUUUUGAGUACUUACGUUUCCUCGGCGGGUCCGCCCGCCGAUUGGACAAUUUAAACCAUUUGCAGUUGCAAUCAGCGUCUGAAAAACUUUAAUAGUUACAACUUUCAACAACGGAUCUCUUGGUUCUGGCAUCGAUGAAGAACGCAGCGAAAUGCGAUAAGUAGUGUGAAUUGCAGAAUUCAGUGAAUCAUCGAAUCUUUGAACGCACAUUGCGCCCCUUGGUAUUCCAUGGGGCAUGCCUGUUCGAGCGUCAUUUGUACCUUCAAGCUUUGCUUGGUGUUGGGUGUUUGUCUCGCCUCUGCGUGUAGACUCGCCUUAAAACAAUUGGCAGCCGGCGUAUUGAUUUCGGAGCGCAGUACAUCUCGCGCUUUGCACUCAUAACGACGACGUCCAAAAGUACAUUUUUACACUCUUGACCUCGGAUCAGGUAGGGAUACCCGCUGAACUUAAGCAUAUCA
rnacentral:rRNA from 1 species